UACAGAGGGUGCGAGCGUUAUUCGGAAUCACUGGGCUUAAAGGGCGCGUAGGCGGGCCGCCAAGUCAGGGGUGAAAGCCUCCGGCUCAACCGGAGAAGUGCCUUUGAUACUGGCGGCCUAGAGGGAGGUAGGGGCCUGCGGAACUUCCGGUGGAGCGGUGAAAUGCGUAGAUAUCGGAAGGAACGCCGGUGGCGAAAGCGGCGGGCUGGACCUCUUCUGACGCUGAGGCGCGAAAGCCAGGGGAGCAAACGGG
rnacentral:rRNA from 1 species